UUAAAAACUAAGAAAAGGAAUAGUAACUACUUGAUAAAUGUCAGAGACCUGUUGGCUGGUGUGAAACAGGAUUUAGAAAAUAGUGAACUCGCCUUGGAGUUGCUGACUGAAUAAAGUAGGUCUAGACGGAGGCCCACCGUUAAAAGGGAUAGAUAUCGGUAGAAACCUGUAUCAAUGAAACACCUAAGAGUGGUAUAGCAGAUUACACUUCUGUCUCUUUUGAGAUAGGAGUUUUUUAUUUUUCUACCUGUAUUAAAAAAGUGCACAUUUUAAUGUGAAAAAGAGUGGUACCGCGGAAAGCCUCCUUUCGUCUCUUAC
rnacentral:ncRNA from 1 species